rnacentral:sRNA from 1 species
AGAUCAGAAACUCAUAAGACAGCAUUAAAAAGUACUAUACAGGAGGAGAUGGAAUAAGAUGGCCAAAUAGAAGCCUCUGGCAAUCAUCUCCCCCAAAGGAAUUGAACAACUAUCGAAACAAAAUUGAACAACUCUCUAAACAAAAAAAGUACCUUCAUAAAAAACAAAAAUCAGGACACAGUGUUCUGCCUCUCCUGAGUAAGCAGCAACAAGGCACAAUCUUGGAAUCAGAGGGCAGCCCUCACCAGACAACUAAAUCUGCAGACACCUUGAUCUUGGACUUCCCAGCCUCCAGAACUGUCUUUCUGGCAACUGUCUAAACAUAAACCAGGGAAGGGCAAGGCAGACUCAGGAAGGACAAAUAGAAGGCUAUUUCCAUAAAUCAGUGAUCAGAAGAACAUAUUCCAUUUCCUGAGAUGAAAAAAUCCUUAGGAAGAGAAAGUUUUAAGGAAACCAAGAGUUCCAUUAUGGACAAAAACACCACCACAUGUGCGGCAUCCCUCUGGGUCUCUUCCAUGUCAACCCUGUGGGAACCCAGCUUGGCAGGUCACCUUGUUCUAGCAGAUAGAAACUGAAUCAAUAUGGGAAGAGCCAGAAUUUGGACAAGGUUCACCAAACAUUCACACUGAUGCCAGAACUGGAGUACAGGUCCCAGCUUCCCAUACUGUGGAGUCGCCAUGCAUUGUCUGGCCAGUGAAAUGUGAGCAGAGAGAUCUGUGUAACUUACAGGCUCAGCAUGAAAUAUCAUCCAUAUGACCUUCAUAUACUUUCUCAUGCAGGUCAGCCAAAGACAGAGGCUCUCUUGAAGAUGACUCCUGGGACUCCAGAAAUGGAGGAGUCAUUAAAUGACAUAUGAAGGAGGGUCUUUUCAUAUUAAAUUGUUUUCCUGGCAGCACCUGAACCAAAGGAUAAGACUUCAAAUAAGUCUUUUUCCAAUGUUAUGCUGAAACUGGAUUCAACAUUUCUCAUAAAACUUCUAAGUCAAACAGUGAUGAGAAACUACUGCCUAAAAGUUGAUAUUAUGGAUUCCCAUAAGGAUUCAUGUCUCCUAUUCACUUUAAUGAACAGUUGUUGGGCAACAAUUCUAGAAGAGUUCCAACUCUCAUCAGGAGUAUGGACAAGGUGGAGAAGCAGAGAAAAUGCAAUGAGUAGAAUGUCUAAGUCAUCACUUUGGAAUUGACUGAACAUAAAUAAAAAUGAGAAAGAUACGUAAAAAAGAAGGGAAUGGUUGCCACAGCCCCCAUUUUGCAAACGAGGCAGCUGAGGUUCCCAGAGGCUCAAUACCAGCACCAUGGGCCGAAGCACGCAGGGCAAACACAGCCGGAGCCACCACAGCGGCCUCGAGUACGCCGACCCCGAGAAGUUCGCGGACUCGGGCCAGGACCGGGAUCCCCACCGGCUCAACUCGCAUCUCAAGCUGGGCUUCGAGGAUGUGAUCGCAGAGCCGGUGACUACGCACUCCUUUGACAAAGUGUGGAUCUGCAGCCAUGCCCUCUUUGAAAUCAGCAAAUACGUAAUGUACAAGUUCCUGACGGUGUUCCUGGCCAUUCCCCUGGCCUUCAUUGCGGGAAUUCUCUUUGCCACCCUCAGCUGUCUGCACAUCUGGCCGGCGUCAGGAGGAGGAACGCGCGUCAGUUCCCAAGCAGUAGGAAGAACUGGAAGGCCUUGAAAGGCAGUGCGCUUCCUUUAGAAUAACAGUUUGGGCUUGGAGUUUCAACAGGAGAAAGAAUGAUUUUAAUGCCUUUUGUAAAGACCUGCCUAAUGGUUCUGCCUUCAGUGCAGACAAUAUGGAAGAGUGUGACAGAUGUUAUCAUUGCUCCAUUGUGUACGAGCGUAGGACGAAGCUUCUCUUCUGUCAGCCUGCAACU